rnacentral:misc_RNA from 1 species
GAUGAAGAACGUAGCGAAAUGCGAUAAGUAAUGUGAAUUGCAGAAUUCAGUGAAUCAUCGAAUCUUUGAACGCACCUUGCGCCCUUUGGCUAUUCCGAAGGGCAUGCCUGUUUGAGUAUCAUGAACACCUCAACCCUCAUGGUUUGCCAUGAUGGGCUUGGACUUUGGGGGUCUUGCUGGAUUGUAGUCAGCUCCCCUUAAAUGAAUCAGCUUGCCAGUGUUUGGUGGCAUCACAGGUGUGAUAAAUAUCUACGCUUGUGGUUUUACAUCAGAUAACCUUCAGUGAUGGAGGUUCACUGGAGCUCAUAAAGGUGUCUCUCCUCUGUGAGGACAGCUCUUUGAAUGUUUGAUCGCAAAUCAGGCAGGACUACCCGCUGAACUUAAGCAUAUCAAUAAGCGGAGGA